GAUGAGUAAUGCUUUGUGGAAUGUUUGAACUUGGUACUGUAAUUGAAAACAAGUUGAUGUUAAUUGGUUAGAUUCACAGUCUGCCACAGUCAAAGUAUGCAAAUAGUUAAAAACAAACAAACUGCAAAACCACAAAAAUCCUCCACUUUCAAAAUUUUCAUCUCACAUUUACCAUAGGCAACUACAGUCUGUUAGAAAGAUCUUCUCCAUACUGGUUUCUCCUUCAUUUUUCCUUUAGGUCUUUCCUUUGCUCAACUCUCAUUCUAUCAUUGAAGUCUUUGUUCAAAUCUCAUUCUAUCAUGAAGUCUUCACCGCAUAUAAAAGAGCUUCUCACAUUCCCAAUCCUUAUCCCCUUUUAACUUGCUUUAUUUUCCCCAUUGCACUCAGUAUCUGACAUAUUAUGUCUUUAUUUAUUUCCUGUUUUCCCUUCAGUACAAUGAAAGUUCCACAAGGGUGAGCAGGAACCUGUUUUUUUCCCUGUUGGAAGCCAACCACUUAGAACAAUAUAUGCUAUAUAGUCCCAGAUUGAAUGAUUAAAUGGUAACUAUAGUGACAUAGCAUACUCAAGUGUAUGUCUAAUGGCAGACAAAUUCAAAAAAGAAUGCUAAUUUUUUAAGGCUUGAGUAUAUGACCAUACUGAAUUUUUUAAGCUGGAAGACAGUUAUUCUAACAGACCAUUGCUUAAGACUCUCGAUCUAAUUAUCUUAGUGCUGCUUAUGAAGUAAGCAUCUCUCCACUCCAUACUCAAUACUUCCACACACUGAGUUUAUAAUCCUGGGGUUGAGACUCUGCAAACUAUGCCAGAUGACUUCCUAGGCAGUUUUAUCAGUAGAAGUUGCUGGAGGAAUGAUGGAAAGCCAGAGUAGGGGAGAAGAGACUUGUUCCUUUCUGUUUGCCUCCUUCUCCUAUCAGCAUCACCUCACAUUAAUACCCUUUACUCUGUCAUCAAUACUUCGUUCCAGCCUCCCUCUACUUUUACUCUAAGAACCAAACUCAUCAUGACCCCUCAGAGGUCAGCACCAGCCAAGCUGUGCCCACUUGUCAGAGGUCUGAGCCCUAGCUCAGCAGUCUUGCUCCUCUGAUCUUCUGAAUUAUCACCCAGCUUUUCCCUUUGUUCCUUCAGCUGCAAAGUUGAAAUGGCUCCUUGCAAUUCACAUAUGUGGAUCACCUCAGUGUUCCCAUUUUGGUGUGGAGACCCCCUCCAAUCCCUGUAUAAUAGUACCCUCCUAUUGAGUUCCCUCUGGUACUGUAUCUGUUUCCCUGUUAGAUGCUUGAUUUUCAGCGACUGUUUCCCAAAACUUUCCAUUGUAACAGCUAUUUUUCUCUAAGUCAAACUGUUAAAAAUAACAGAGCCAAUAUCAAACUGUCAAUUAAUGUAAAUAAAAACAAUAAGGCAAAUGAGCAAAAUUUGUUCUACGGCAUUGGCAAUAAUCCAGGUUAAGUAAAGGUAGGUUUAAAAUAAGUAAAUUUGAUGAUAAUUAUGUUGGUGUUUUAGCCGUAUGUACAUACGAGCUGUGUUUCUUCUCCCUCAUCUAGAUUAUGAUAAGAACAGAUGGAAAUGUCUAACUUUAGGCGGUUUAGGUGAUUUAUUUCUUCUGCAGACUUGCAUUGCUCCUGCGGACCAUAGAACUAAAAGGGUCACACAUGCGGAGACUGAAUGAUGCAGCGUGACAGCCCUGGGGUUUCACUGCCUGGGUUUCCGUUCAAAUCCUCUACUUUGUGACCUUGGGCAAAUUACUCAUUCUCUUAGUUUCCUCAUGUGAAAAUAGGGAAAGACACCGGCACCUGGGUCCGGGAGCAUAUCAAAGGCUGCUUGCUCAGCUCCCAAGGUGGGCCGAGGUAUUGUCUACUUGCUAAAGAAUCCUGCCUCUUGAACUUCCUGGGUGUUAAAAUGCAAUCUUAUCUUCAAGAUGGAAUUCUUCCUGCCUUUUACCAUGCUGUCUACAGCUGGGUCUGCAUGCUAAGUUAGUUGCUCAGCUUGCAGAAUCACCUAGUCAAAUCUGAAGGAGGAAAGACAGCACAGAGGCCUGGGCCUUUUAGUAUGCUAAAGUAAAUCUUCCACAUGGUUACAAAUGUUUAGCGUAAUAAAACGUGUGCUACUCUUCUUUAU